CCUACGGGAGGCAGCAGUGGGGAAUAUUGGGCAAUGGACGCAAGCCUGACCCAGCAACGCCGCGUGAAUGAAGAAGGCCUUCGGAUUGUAAACUUCUUUUCUGAGGGACGAAGAAAGUGACGGUACCUCAGGAAUAAGCCACGGCUAACUACGUGCCAGCAGCCGCGGUAAUACGUAGGUGGCAAGCGUUAUCCGGAUUUAUUGGGGGUAAAGGGUGUGUAGGCGGGAAAGCAAGUCAGAUGUGAAAACUCAGGGCUCAACCCUGAGGCUGCAUUUGAAACUGUUUGUCUUGAGUGCUGGAGAGGGAAGCGGAAUUCCGGGUGUAGCGGUGAAAUGCGUAGAUAUAAGGAGGAACACCAGUGGCGAAGGCGGAUUGCUGGACAGUAACUGACGCUGAGGCGCGAAAGCGUGGGGAGCAAACAGGAUUAGAUACCCUGGUAGUC
rnacentral:rRNA from 1 species